CUAGCGUUGCUCGGAAUUACUGGGCGUAAAGCGCGCGUAGGCGGGUCGUUAAGCCGGGGGUGAAAUCCUGGAGCUCAACUCCAGAACUGCCUUCGAUACUGGCGAUCUUGAGUCCGGGAGAGGUGAGUGGAACUCCGAGUGUAGAGGUGAAAUUCGUAGAUAUUCGGAAGAACACCAGUGGCGAAGGCGGCUCACUGGCCCGGUACUGACGCUGAGGUGCGAAAGCGUGGGGAGCAAACAGG
rnacentral:rRNA from 1 species